GUGUGGUAGAGGGGAGAACAGACCAGAGCUGACCGGGAGCCAUGGUGGGGGACAGAGGGCUGCGCUGGGGCCAGUGAGGCCUCACAGCUCCUGUGCGGGUUGCCUGAGGCUCCAGGAACCUCUGCUGAGGAGGGGCUGGUGCAGCCCAGCUGGGUAGCAGCUAUCGGACAGCUGGGAGCAUGGCUUCGACGCCGGGCUGCCUCUGCCAUCAACAAGACCUGGGGUCCGGGCAAGUCCCUUCUCCACUCCAGACCUCGGUUUCCUCAUCUGUAGAUGCAGGGUGGUUAGACGGGUGCUCUGGGACCCUGCUGCCGGCAGAUCACCCAGAGCAGGCUGCUUCGGUCUCAAUGCUAUUGACAUUUGGAGCCAGAUCCUUCCUUGCAUAGGGGCUGUCCUGCGCCCUGUGAGAUGCUGAGCUGCACACCUGGCCUCCCCCAACGAGAUGCCAGGGCCCCUUCCCUCCAGCUGCACAAUCACAAAUGCCUCCAGACAUUGCCACACGUCCAGAGGGGCAGAACCACCCUGGUGGAGACCCCAGCCCUAAAGAUGCUCUUGAUCUUGACCUAGGGCCCAAGGAUGGGUCUCAGGGUCCUUGAGCCCCCUGGAUCUAUAUACAAAACAGUGUGCACAUAUGUGCACUUUUCCGGGGAGAAAGCCACAGAGGUUACAGGAUCUAAAAGGAAUGUGUGCACCCCAAGUUAGAAUCCCCAUGGCUGCUCUGCUUGCGGGAUGCAGCCCACGAGGAGAGCCCCCACCGUCCUUGCACAGAGCAGUCGGCCAAGGUCUUUGUCUCCCGGCACCAGGCUGAGCUCUGCCUCUGGGCUGGGUUGCAUUUCCUGACCCCAGAGAUCUCUGUCUUCUCACUGCCUCUCCUAUCCCUCAUUCUCAUUAGAAAAUCUCUUCCAUAAAUUGCCCCUUUAUCUGAAGUAUUCCUAUCGGGUUUCUAAACCCCGCUGAUGGAACAGGGCUAUUACAUAUGCGAUCGCCUGCAUUUAUUUACAUAUCAGCAGCAAAAGGGGCCCUGAUUUUUCAUCUGGGUGACACAGCUGCACUUGUAAAAAGGGCGUCUAUUAGAAAGGCCAUUGCUUGGUACAAGCUGCAGAGUCUAAUUGGCUUCUCAGGGACUUUUUUUUAUUAUUGUUAUUUGCUCGGGGAACUGUUCAUUUGAGCAAACGAUAUUAAAUGACUAUUGUCUCAGUCUUUUAAGGAAUUACCAGCUGAAAAACAAUGCAGAGAUGUCAGCCAUGGAGUGACAAAGGCUUCUGGCAACACGUGUGCCCGUGGACCCAGGCCUGUCACAUUUCCGAUCAAUAAUAAGCUGGUUUCAAUAGUGAUGUGAUCUAACUCCAGUUCCACAGAACCUACAAUUAACUGGAAUAGAUUUUCCUUCCCCUUUUACAACUACUACAAGAAAACAGUCAAAUUACAUGCAAAUACAGUGCUCUUAGGAAUGUCUGUUUAAAUUGUGUAAGAUUUGAGCAUCUAUUGAAUGAAAGGAACAACCAGUAUUUGGGGGAAGGAUGGAGCAGGGGAAGGCCCUCCAACCCCAUCUGAGGCUCUGAGGAGCUCUGGGGCCUGCUGGACACCGGCUCUUCCAGUUGGUUUCUGGUUCCCUGCAGUGGGGCUCCCCAGGACCCCUUCCAGCCCUACUGAAGCAGAAUGUCUGAAAGCGAGGCCUGCAGGGCUGAAGAGUUAAAAUUCUGAUGCACCCAAAUGCUCUGCACUUCAGUGUUUAUGCCUGUAAAGUAGAAGUGACAGUGUUUCCCUCCAAUGUUUGCUGUGUGGGUUCCAGAGUUCACGUCUGCAGUGGGUUCCAGCCCAGGUUGGUGCAUGGUGAGGCCUCAUGUUUGCUGUGUGGGUUCCAGAGUUCACGGCUGCAGUGGGUUCCAGCCCAGGUUGGUGCACGGUGAGGUCUCAUGUUUGCAGUGCGGGUUCCAGAGCUCAUGGCUGCGGUGGGUUCUGGCCCAGUUUGGUGCAUGCCGAGGCCCCGUGUUUGCUGUUUUUUUCUAGUGUCACCACUGGCCACAGCCACACUAGACCUCAGGCAAGCUCGGGCACAUACAGGGGCUCAGAGAGUAUUUGCACACACAGUAAACACUGGGGCAGGUCGCUGGUCCUCCACAGGCCAGUUUUGCCAUCCGGGGACACCGGGAAGUGUCUGCAGAGGCUUUGGGUGGUGGCGUCGGAGGUGGGUGGUGCAGGUCUCUCACGGGUGGAGGCCGAGGAUGCUGCUCAGCUGCCUGCAGUGCAUGGGGUGGCCACAGCAGGGAGAAUGAUCCGUCCCAAAUGUCAGUGGUGCUGAGGCUGAAAAACCCUGGGAUAAGAGGGAGCAGAUAAUAAGAUGGAAAACAGGAGGGCAUACUGGGGGUUGGGAAGCAAGAGAGAAUGUGAGGACCCUUGAUUCAAAGGAUGCUGUUGGAGAGCAGGCCUGGCGCCUUCGCUGCCCCACGUGGUGUGCUGGUCUCAUCCACAUCCAGGCGACGAAGCCCUGCAAGGCUGAGUGCUUUCCCCUAUCAGUUCCCUGACUCCCUGGGACCUUACCCUGGAUUUGAGACCUGGGCACUUUUGGGAUCUGAGAGGGUGAAGGCUCAGCCAGGCUCACCUGGUG
rnacentral:lncRNA from 1 species